GUGCCAGCAGCCGCGGUAAUACGUAGGGUGCGAGCGUUAAUCGGAAUUACUGGGCGUAAAGCGUGCGCAGGCGGUUUUGUAAGACAGAUGUGAAAUCCCCGGGCUUAACCUGGGAACUGCGUUUGUGACUGCAUCGCUGGAGUGCGGCAGAGGGGGAUGGAAUUCCGCGUGUAGCAGUGAAAUGCGUAGAUAUGCGGAGGAACACCGAUGGCGAAGGCAAUCCCCUGGGCCUGCACUGACGCGCAUGCACGAAAGCGUGGGGAGCAAACAGGAUUAGAUACCCUGGUAGUCCACGCCCUAA
rnacentral:rRNA from 1 species